rnacentral:lncRNA from 1 species
CUACAGUUACACACACACAGGGCUACAGGUACACACUCACACACACACACACACACACACACACACAGGGAUACAGGUACACACACACACACAGGGCUACAGGUACACACACACACAGGGCUACAGGUACACACACACACACAGGGAUACAGGUACACACACACACACACACAGGGCUACAGGUACACACACACACACAGGGAUACAGGUACACACACACACACAGGGCUACAGGUACACACACACACACACACACACACACACACACACACACACACACACACACACACAGGGCUACAGGUACACGCACACACAGGGCUACAGGUAACACACACACACACACACACACACACACACACACACACACACACACACACACACACACACACACACACACAGGGCUACAGGUACACGCACACACAGGGCUACAGGUACACACACACAGGGCUACAGGUACACACACACAUACACAGGGCUACAG